rnacentral:lncRNA from 1 species
CAUUUCUAAAAACGGUCUCUGUACUCUUUGGGGAUUUUAGGCACUCAAGUUAUUCUUUUAAAAGAUUUCUGCUGACAUCCACGGGUCCUAUAAUUAACAUAUCAAGCCGCCAAAGGCCGGAAGUGUUCUGUCACCCCUAAAAAUACAGAACCCCUUCCUGAUCUUCCUCCAGUCUUGUUUUAGGAACCAUCAGACCACAUCCCACUCCUUCCACUCCGUUCUCUCUUGACAGAAUACAUCCACACCUCAGAUGUGAACGUUCAAGCCUUUUUCUUUUAUAAUUUUCCAAGUAAUGAACUCUACCCUCUAGGUUGGGGCCUGUGACAAGACAGACUUUAUCUGCCUUUUGUCCUGAACAGUCUCUCCCUGGCGCAUGCAGUCCCACACCCGCUGUUCCCACGCCUCCCCAAUCUUCAGGCCACCUCAUGUCCCAGCAGAUGUGUCAUCGGCAAGGAGACAUAUUUCACAGCCUCAAAUAUUCUCCAGUGGAUCAAUGCCCAGGUUGGACUUUUGUCAGGAAUGAUUUAUCGAAGAGAUACAUUUCCAUCAGAAUCUUCCUGAAGCAAUCAUCUCGGGGACGUAUGCUUAUUGGAUCUCAUUAUAAGUCCACAGCUUUGCUGCCAAGAUAUUAAGUAGUACCACACCUUUGAAAGCCACUUAUGGCUGUUCAUAAUGCAGCAGAGGUGGCUCAUUUCCCAGACCAGGGAACGCUAGCUUAAGCCUAAAGCUGGUGGUGCUAUGUACGUAUAAGAGGAGGUCGGUGUACACACCUCAGAGAGCGAGCUUAACAAAUGCCAUAGAGGAAUCUGCAGCAAGAGUCCAGAAUGGGGUUCCCACAUUCGUUCUGAAGAUGUCAGCAAGAGAGAGACUCAGAUUUAAGAUGCACCCGUGCGUGCAUGCACCGGCACAUAUCACAGAGUAAGAUCCAGGACCAUUCCAGUUGUGGUGAACGAUUGCAUAGAAAACUGUUAUGCGAUGAUAACUUGCAGCAAGGAGUCUGACCAUCUGAAGGUGUUGGGGAAGUCACCCGGAAGAGGGGAGGAAAGAAGCGGAGCCUCAGUAGAGGUCCAGCCAAUCAAAAGACCUGGGGCCUGGUGGCUCUUUCUGCCGCUUUGCAAUCAGGAAGCACCGAAAAGAUGAAAGGUCAUGUUCACCAAAACAGGAAGAAGUAAGAAGUUGGCUGCUUCACUUAGGAAACUGGUAUCCAUUCCGGAGAUAUAACUUUGCCUUUCAUGAACUGGUGGCAUAGGACUCGGGGUGAUAUGGAUCUGUUAAGAGGUAUUUAGAAGUGUGAAGGUUCAUGUAUGGUUGGCCCAGGAUAUGGCACCGUUAGGAGUAAAACCCUAACUAAGACAAGAAGAUACACUCAUAGGCUUGAUUGGGUUACGUCAGAAGAGAAGGGAAUCUUAAGCUUGACUUCAGUUUCCUCACUAGAGAUGGGUACCUCGGGGUGAGUCGGGACAGAUGAGUAGGAGUCCAUCAUCACUCCAGCCUUGGACAUGACAGGAGCGCCACACCCAGCUGCAGCGGUGUCCCCAGAAGAGGACACUACAGGAAACACAUGAUACAAACAGUGGCUCUGGUGGCCACUGAUACCUUCAGGUUACCUAAAUUGUAUGGUCAUUUCUAAAAUCAAAUUUUCUCCAGAAUACCUUUGAGACUGGCCAUAUUAUUGGCCUGUGACUUUGCUUAGUGACACCCAGACUCUAAGGGAAAUAUUAGACCCAAACUCAGAGGAAAAAAAUUCUCUCCUUGGGAUAUCCAUCUAUAAGGUCUUACAUCGGGGCUGGAGUGGGCAUAUUUGUGUUCCUUGGUGCUCAGUAAGGCUGUAACAUCCUAUUGACACCUUAGUGACCAGGAUGGAAGUCCCCGUGAUGAUGGCACUUUAAGAAAAGGAAAUCCCCAGACAGCUCCUUCAAAGGCGUUGAGGUUAAUGCUUCUAUUUCUUGAGACUCCUG